rnacentral:rRNA from 1 species
GGCCGAAAGGCGUAGGUGAUGGACAACAGGUUGAUAUUCCUGUACUACCGAUAACCGUUUGAGAGAAGGGAUGACACAGUAGGAUAAGCUAAGCACACUGUUGGUUAUGUGUGCCCAAGCAUUGAGGUAGUCAAAGCAGGCAAAUCCGCUUUGAUAAUGCUGGGAUGUGAUGGGGAGCGAAAUUUAGUAGCGAAGUAGCUGAUUUCACACUGUCAAGAAAAGUCUCUAUCGAGGUUAAAGGUACCCGUACCGCAA